AUUGAACGCUGGCGGCAUGCCUUACACAUGCAAGUCGAGCGGCAGCACGGGAGCAAUCCUGGUGGCGAGUGGCGAACGGGUGAGUAAUAUAUCGGAACGUGCCCAGUCGUGGGGGAUAACGUAGCGAAAGCUACGCUAAUACCGCAUACGAUCUAUGGAUGAAAGCGGGGGAUCGCAGGACCUCGCGCGAUUGGAGCGGCCGAUAUCAGAUUAGGUAGUUGGUGAGGUAAAGGCUCACCAAGCCGACGAUCUGUAGCUGGUCUGAGAGGACGACCAGCAACACUGGGACUGAGACACGGCCCAGACUCCUACGGGAGGCAGCAGUGGGGAAUUUUGGACAAUGGGCGCAAGCCUGAUCCAGCAAUGCCGCGUGCAGGAUGAAGGCCUUCGGGUUGUAAACUGCUUUUGUACGGAACGAAACGGCGAGCUCUAAUACAGUUUGCUAAUGACGGUACCGUAAGAAUAAGCACCGGCUAACUACGUGCCAGCAGCCGCCGUAA
rnacentral:rRNA from 1 species